rfam:Paxillus involutus ATCC 200175 unplaced genomic scaffold PAXINscaffold_1, whole genome shotgun sequence.
GCUGAUAUGGCCGAGUCGUUAAGGCGAGUGAUUUGAAUGCUCAUGAUCACUUGGGCAUUGCCCGCGUAGGUUCAAAUCCUGCUGUCAGCG